AGAGUGGAGCAUCUGCUACAACUGGUAGCCUGUCCUAAACAAAUCACGGUCACCCAAAGUCCACAGUAAACACCAGGGCUUUGUAAACACUUGGUUUGUAUACACUUGUCCAGGGGUAGACGUGGGUCUACCACUGUAGGGUUGCACAGAGAGCAUGUCUAUCUCUCCAUCCUGCUCAGCCCUUGUGGCACUGAUCUCCCUUUUUUCUAGAAUGACAUCUACUUAGGAUCACUUGCCAGGUCCCAUCAUUUCCCCAGAUUUGAAGUCAGACAUCGUCCCUUUUAGGACCUUCCUGGCCAUCCCUGGAUAUCACUGCAGACUCAGGCCUUUGCAUCCAGACAGACCGACAGACAGAAAGUGUGUUCAGAAGAGAGGUGGCAGCAAAGCUGGGAAGAGGACUGCAGGAGACAGACGGAGUAGCGGCCUGGCUGUGGUCCUGGAGGCAAUGGAGUCCAAGCGGCAGAAUCAGACAGAGUACACAGCUGGAGGAGAGCUCUUCAAUUUUACCUAAGCUCAUCUCUUAGACCCAAGAAAGCCAAAGUCUGAAGAAUGACAAUCAAAGAGCCCCAUUACCCUUUGUAAUCAGACCCCCUCCCCUGCAACCUGGCUUUAUAAAUAAAGUUUUAUUGGCAUAGA